AUAUCUUCAUUUCUGCAGCCCCGCCAGGCCUUCCAGCGCCAUGGGAGCCCCAGACCCCGGCCCACCAUCUGCCUGCCCCACCUGGAGCCCAGUCUGGCCACAGGUCUGGUAUCAUUUCCGGCCCUGGACAGCCCAGGUGCAAGGCCCAUGAACCCCAGCACCAGCUCCCAAGUUGCCCCGUCUCAGGCCACGGGGCCCGCACAAGCCUGGCCUCUUCACUCCUUGCAGCCAUCGGUCAAGGCCGCGCUGCGGCCCUCCUGCCCUGCUGCCCUCCCUGCAUUUCUACGCCUUUCUACUUCUCAAUCUGAUUUCUAUGAGGUUUUUUUAAAUGAGCAAUCCUUGGCUGCUUCCUUUUCUUAACUCUUUCAAUACCAAGCGCAGCCCCUCCACAUGGAAAACACCCAGCACUGUGACGGAGUCCAGCCUGGUCUGAGUCCUGUGGGCCCUACCCCUGCCCACUCAGCAGGGCGUGGGCUCCCUGCCUCACCUGACCCCCACUAAUUCCACGGGGUUUCUACUCGGGGGUGGGUGGGGCACACUCUUAGGUUUUUUUAAUGCCAAUUCCGUUUCGAUGCCGAAUCUAAGAAGCCACCACUCGCUUCGUUAGCUCAAGAGCAGGCAGCCCCAACUUCAUUUCUCACCUAAACAAGGACCAGGCUGUCCUGCACGCCGGGUCUGAGCAUCAGCCCUCUCUCCCCAGCGCCGAGCAUGAGCUCGGCUCCUCCACCCUCCCUGAGGUGGGAGCGCCUGCCUGGCCCCAGCCAGCUGUCCAGUGACAAGGCUCUGUUCCCGAAAAGAUGCUGCUGACCCGGAUCUGUCCUCAGGCCACGUGGGCUGGGCUGGGAGGUGCAGAUCGUUGUUAACUUUUUCCUGUGUGUAGAUAUGUACAGCCAAAGGGUCAUGUAAAUGUUCUGCAAAAGCGGGCCUAUACAGAGUGAAAGCUAUUUAUUUUGUGCAGAGAAAAAUGUCUGGAGGGAUGGAACCUUCAGGGUUUAUUCAUAUUUAAGAUGUAGCUUUGUGUUGUUGUUGCAGACGUUAUGUAUAAAGCAACAACUCUUUUAUGGACCAAGUUUUCAUGUAACUGUUGCAAUGGAAGUGCAAUAUCUGAUCCCCUCUGCUCCCCAGCGGGAAGUCACUCGGCCCGACAAUCACAGCCCCAGCCAGGGGCCCCUGUGGCCAGUGCCUCCUCCUCUGUCGUCCCACCUCACCCUGUCUUGCCUACCGCCUUGGUGACCAGCCACCUGGAGAAGCACCUGGAAGAGUCUCAGGCCCGCCUGCAAUAAAGGCCAGGAGGCCUCCUAGCCUGGGAGGCCCUGCAGGCAGUGGGCCCAGCCUCUCCAUAGGGGACAGCUCCCCCACGGCUCCGCGCCGCCAGCCAUUCCAAGGACAACAGCAAUAGUCCCCUGGGCCCUUCCUGUGGCCCUUAGCCAUAGAUAGUGAGAUGGGCAGCCCCCUCCCCACUGAAGUCUCUUCUGUAUCCAGGUCUGCUUCUCCCUUCCUUCAGAUAGAUUCCUUUUGGCACAUUCUUCUCUUGAAGAAGCACCAGUUUUUCAGAAACUGAGAGGGCAAAAUCCUUUAAAAAUACCAAAAAUGUUUACAGCGUUGGGUGCUGAGCUGCAGGGCUCAGGCCUGACCAGUCGUAACCAAAGGGUGAGGCAGGCCACACUGACUGCCACCCGCACCCCAGGCCUGUUGGAAUAGAAGCCUUAGUCCCUCCCCACCCCAGCCCCCCAGCUCCAGAUCCCACCACCUGCCUUCUCUUUGAUUUCUAAAGAGGGAUUCUGCAGAGACCUCCGCCCCCUCCCCAGCUCAGUCUGAGCUGCCUGCCCACCCGUCACAGUCUUCAUAUCCCAUCUGUCCUGUGCCGUCUGUCUCUCUGGGCCAUGUGUGAGCAGUGUCCUGACCACCCCCUGCUGUCCUGCCAUCAUUGGCCUGAGUGUGCUCUGUAUACAGCGUCCUCGUCUGUUACACCAAUUAAAAAAGCAGGAAGGCUUC